rnacentral:lncRNA from 1 species
UCUCAGUAAUUGGGCGUGCCACUAAGCUUUUUUAAUUGCCUGCGUCUUUCCUGUAGGUCAUCAGCUCCAUGAGCUCCCUCUCUGAGUACUGCCUACCUUCCAUUCUGCGAACGUUAUUUGAUUGGUACAAAAGGCAAAAUGGCAUUGAGGAUGAAUCACAUGAAUACAGACCAAGAACAAGCAAUAAAUCAAAAAGUGAUGAACAGCAGCGAGAUUAUUUAAUGGAAAGACGAGACCUCGCCAUUGAUUUUAUUUUUUCCUUAGUAUUAAUAGAAGUUUUGAAACAGAUUCCACUACAUCCUGUAAUAGACAGUUUAAUACACGAUGUUAUUAACUUGGCUUUCAAGCACUUUAAAUACAAAGAAGGGUACCUCGGUCCUAACACUGGCAAUAUGCACAUUGUGGCCGACCUGUAUGCAGAAGUCAUUGGAGUGUUGGCACAAGCUAAAUUCCCUGCUGUCAAGAAAAAAUUUAUGGCAGAACUAAAAGAAUUACGGCACAAAGAACAGAGCCCAUAUGUGGUACAAAGCAUUAUCAGCUUGAUAAUGGGGAUGAAAUUCUUUCGAAUAAAGAUGUAUCCAGUGGAGGACUUCGAGGCCUCUCUUCAGUUUAUGCAGGAAUGUGCACAUUAUUUCCUUGAGGUCAAAGACAAAGAUAUCAAACAUGCGUUGGCUGGACUUUUUGUGGAAAUCCUCGUCCCAGUUGCUGCUGCUGUUAAAAAUGAAGUAAAUGUUCCCUGCCUCAGAAACUUUGUGGAAAGCCUAUAUGAUACCACCCUGGAACUUUCUUCUCGAAAGAAGCAUUCCUUGGCUUUGUACCCCCUGGUGACCUGUCUGCUCUGCGUCAGUCAGAAGCAGCUGUUCCUGAACAGAUGGCAUGUGUUCCUCAACAACUGCUUAUCUAACCUGAAGAAUAAAGACCCCAAGAUGGCUCGAGUUGCCCUGGAAUCACUUUACAGACUACUUUGGGUUUACAUGAUUCGAAUUAAAUGUGAAAGCAACACAGCUACUCAGAGCCGACUUAUAAGCAUCAUCACAACACUUUUCCCCAAAGGGUCCCGUGGUGUGGUGCCGAGGGAUAUGCCUCUGAACAUCUUUGUGAAAAUAAUCCAGUUCAUUGCCCAGGAACGUUUAGAUUUUGCAAUGAAAGAAAUCAUUUUUGAUUUUCUUUGUGUAGGAAAACCAGCCAAAGCUUUCAGUCUGAAUCCAGAGAGAAUGAACAUUGGUUUGAGGGCAUUCUUGGUCAUAGCUGAUAGCUUGCAGCAGAAGGAUGGUGAACCUCCCAUGCCGGUGACAGGAGCUGUACUCCCUUCUGGAAACACGUUGAGAGUAAAGAAAACAUAUUUGAGUAAAACGUUAACUGAAGAGGAAGCCAAAAUGAUAGGCAUGUCCUUAUAUUACUCUCAAGUAAGAAAAGCUGUGGACAACAUUUUAAGGCACCUUGAUAAAGAAGUAGGACGCUGUAUGAUGCUAACUAACGUCCAGAUGUUAAACAAAGAACCCGAAGACAUGAUCACGGGUGAGAGAAAGCCAAAAAUAGAUCUUUUCAGGACCUGUGUUGCUGCUAUUCCUCGGCUACUUCCUGAUGGGAUGUCAAAACUUGAACUUAUUGACUUGCUGGCCAGGCUGUCAAUUCACAUGGAUGACGAACUGCGGCACAUUGCACAGAAUUCUCUCCAGGGUUUGCUCGUUGACUUCUCGGACUGGAGAGAAGACGUUCUCUUUGGUUUUACCAACUUCCUGCUGCGGGAAGUAAAUGAUAUGCACCACACACUGCUGGAUUCAUCCCUGAAGUUGCUGCUGCAGCUGCUCACCCAGUGGAAGCUGGUCAUUCAGACUCAAGGCAGAGUCUAUGAGCAAGGGAACAAAAUUAGAAAUUCAGAGCUCAUCCCAAAUGGCUCCAGCCACAGAGCUCAGUCAGAGCGAGGCCCUCACUGCAGCGUCCUCCAUGCUGUAGAAGGGUUUGCACUGGUUUUACUCUGCAGCUUCCAGGUGGCCACACGCAAACUGUCCGUGUUAAUACUCAAGGAAAUUCGAGCUCUCUUUGUUGCCCUGGGUCAGCCCGAGGACGAUGACAGGCCAAUGAUCGACGUCAUGGAUCAGCUCAGUUCUUCCAUUCUCGAAAGUUUUAUUCACGUAGCAGUUUCGGAUUCAGCAACAUUAUCACUGACCCACAAUGUGGAUCUGCAGUGGCUGGUGGAAUGGAAUGCUGUCCUGGUCAAUAGCCAUUAUGAUGUGAAGAGCCCUUCCCACGUCUGGAUAUUUGCACAGUCGGUCAAAGACCCCUGGGUCCUCUGCCUCUUCAGCUUCCUUCGGCAGGAGAACCUGCCCAAGCACUGCCCCACAGCCCUCAGCUACGCCUGGCCUUAUGCCUUCACUCGGCUCCAGUCUGUGAUGCCAUUGGUUGACCCCAACAGCCCAAUUAAUGCCAAGAAAACCAGCACUGCGGGCAGCGGAGACAACUAUGUUACUUUGUGGAGAAAUUACCUUAUUCUCUGUUUUGGAGUCGCAAAACCCAGUAUUAUGAGCCCAGGACACUUAAGAGCUUCCACUCCCGAAAUAAUGGCUACCACACCCGAUGGUACAGUGAGCUACGAUAACAAGGCCAUAGGCACCGCAUCAGUGGGAGUUCUGUUAAAGCAAUUGGUGCCCUUGAUGAGACUAGAGAGCAUUGAGAUCACAGAGUCCUUAGUUUUAGGAUUUGGAAGAACAAAUUCUCUUGUUUUCAGAGAAUUGGUUGAAGAACUUCAUCCAUUAAUGAAAGAGGCACUAGAAAGAAGACCAGAGAACAAGAAACGCAGAGAAAGGCGAGACUUGCUAAGGCUACAGCUGCUUCGAAUUUUUGAACUUCUGGCUGAUGCUGGUGUCAUAAGUGACAGCACAAAUGGAGCCUUAGAACGAGAUACGUUAGCCCUUGGAGCUUUGUUCUUAGAAUACGUGGACUUGACCCGCAUGCUCCUAGAAGCUGAAAAUGACAAGGAAGUCGAAAUCCUUAAAGAUAUCCGGGCACAUUUUAGUGCCAUGGUGGCCAACUUGAUCCAGUGUGUUCCAGUUCACCACAGAAGAUUUCUCUUCCCCCAGCAAAGCCUGAGGCACCAUCUCUUCAUCCUGUUCAGCCAGUGGGCAGGCCCCUUCAGCAUUAUGUUCACUCCUCUGGAUCGGUACAGCGACAGGAAUCAUCAGAUUACAAGAUACCAAUAUUGUGCUUUAAAGGCAAUGUCAGCAGUCUUGUGUUGCGGCCCUGUUUUUGAUAACGUGGGUCUUUCCCCAGAUGGCUACCUAUAUAAGUGGCUGGACAACAUUCUGGCUUGUCAAGAUUUACGAGUUCAUCAGCUUGGCUGCGAAGUCGUUGUCUUGCUAUUGGAACUUAAUCCUGACCAAAUCAACCUUUUCAAUUGGGCCAUUGACCGAUGUUACACAGGUUCCUACCAACUUGCAUCUGGUUGCUUCAAAGCCAUAGCAACUGUGUGUGGAAGCAGGAACUAUCCCUUCGACAUAGUGACAUUGUUAAACCUUGUUCUAUUCAAGGCCUCUGACACCAACAGAGAGAUCUAUGAAAUCUCCAUGCAGCUGAUGCAGAUCCUUGAAGCAAAGCUUUUUGUAUACUCAAAGAAAGUCUCCGAACAAAGACCUGGCAGUAUUCUCUACGGGACACACGGCCCACUGCCACCCCUCUACAGCAUGUCACUGGCUCUCUUGUCCAGUGAACUGGCCCGGAUGUACCCUGAGCUCACUCUCCCACUCUUCUCAGAGGUCAGCCAGCGAUUCCCCACAACGCACCCAAAUGGGCGUCAGAUCAUGCUCACUUACCUGCUGCCCUGGCUGCACAACAUUGAGCUGGUGGACAGCAGGCUCCUCCUUCCAGGGUCAAGCCCCAGCAGCCCGGAUGAUGAAGUCAAGGACCGGGAAGGAGAAGCGACCGCCUCUCACGGACUGAAAGGGAAUGGCUGGGGCUCUCCGGAAGCUACAUUACUGGUCCUGAAUAACCUCAUGUACAUGACAGCCAAGUAUGGGGAUGAAGUUCCUGGACCGGAAAUGGAAAAUGCUUGGAAUGCAUUAGCCAACAACGAGAAAUGGAGCAACAACCUAAGGAUCACCUUGCAGUUCCUGAUCAGUCUGUGCGGGGUCAGCAGUGACACCAUACUCUUGCCCUACAUUAAAAAGGUGGCAGUAUACUUAUGCCGUAACAACACCAUUCAAACCAUGGAAGAGCUUCUCUUUGAGCUUCAGCAGACCGAGCCAGUGAACCCCAUAGUCCAGCACUGUGACAACCCACCUUUCUACCGCUUCACGGCUAGCAGCAAGGCCUCUGCAGCAGCUUCCGGAACCACCUCCAGCAGCAAUACAGUGGUUGCCGGCCAAGACAGUUUCCCAGAUGCUGAAGAGAACAAGAUAUUGAAAGAAUCUGAUGAAAGGUUCAGUAAUGUUAUCAGAGCCCACACCCGCCUGGAAUCAAGAUACAGCAAUAGCUCUGGAGGAUCAUAUGAUGAGGAUAAAAAUGACCCCAUCUCUCCCUACACGGGCUGGUUGUUGACGAUUACAGAGACCAAACAGCCGCAACCCUUACCAAUGCCCUGUACUGGAGGGUGCUGGGCCCCCCUGGUUGACUAUCUGCCAGAGACCAUCACACCUCGGGGGCCACUCCACAGGUGCAAUAUUGCUGUGAUCUUUAUGACGGAGAUGGUGGUGGAUCACAGUGUAAGAGAAGACUGGGCUCUGCAUCUACCCUUGUUACUUCAUGCUGUCUUCUUAGGUUUGGACCAUUACCGGCCUGAAGUCUUUGAACACAGCAAAAAGUUGCUCCUUCACCUCCUGAUUGCCCUGUCUUGCAACAGCAGCUUCCAUACUAUCGCCUCGGUACUCUUGCAGACCCGGGAGAUGAGUGAAGCGAAGACUCUAACCGUCCAGCCAGCUUAUCAACCAGAAUAUCUCUACACAGGUGGCUUCGACUUCCUGAGAGAGGACCAGUCCUCCCCAGUGCCAGACUCAGGGCUGAGCUCCAGUUCCACCUCCUCCAGUAUUAGCCUGGGAGGCAGCAGUGGGAACCUCCCGCAGAUGACCCAGGAGGUGGAAGAUGUGGACACAGCCGCCGAGACAGAUGAGAAGGCCAACAAGCUCAUUGAGUUUCUCACAACCAGGGCAUUUGGUCCGCUUUGGUGCCAUGAAGACAUCACACCCAAAAAUCAAAAUUCAAAGAGUGCUGAACAACUGACUAAUUUUCUACGUCAUGUUGUGUCUGUGUUUAAAGAUUCCAAAUCAGGUUUCCAUCUAGAGCAACACUUGAGUGAAGUUGCCCUGCAGACAGCCCUGGCCAGCUCUUCGAGGCACUACGCCGGUCGGUCCUUCCAGAUAUUCCGGGCUCUCAGGCAACCACUGUCAGCACACGCCCUGUCUGACCUCCUGUCGAGACUGGUAGAGGUGAUUGGGGAGCACGGAGACGAGAUUCAGGGUUACGUAAUGGAAGCACUCCUGACCUUGGAAGCUGCUGUGGACAACUUGUCUGACUGCCUGAAGAACAGUGAUCUCUUAACCGUAUUAUCUCGCUCUUCAUCACCAGAUUUAAGCUCGAGCACCAAACUAACAGCAAGCCGAAAAAGCACAGGGCAACUAAAUGUGAACCCUGGAGCUGCCAGUGGCAAUACCACAACAGCAGAGAGGAGCCGCCAUCAAAGAAGCUUCUCUGUGCCCAAGAAGUUUGGUGUUGUUGACCGAUCCUCGGACCCACCUCGAAGUGCUACCCUAGACAGAAUUCAGGCGUGUACCCAGCAGGGCCUCUCCUCCAAAACCAGAAGCUCCUCCUCCUUGAAGGACAGUCUCACAGACCCAUCCCACAUAAACCAUCCGACCAAUCUGUUGGCCACCAUCUUCUGGGUUACGGUGGCCUUGAUGGAGUCUGACUUUGAGUUCGAGUACCUGAUGGCCUUACGGCUGCUGAAUCGACUGUUGGCUCAUAUGCCACUGGAUAAAGCUGAGAACCGAGAGAAACUUGAGAAACUCCAGGCACAGCUCAAGUGGGCUGACUUCUCAGGGUUGCAGCAGCUGCUGCUGAAGGGAUUCACAUCCCUUACCACCACUGACCUUACCCUGCAGCUUUUCAGCUUGCUGACACCAGUGUCCAAAGUAUCCAUGGUGGAUUCAUCACAAGCUAUUGGGUUUCCACUGAAUGUCUUGUGUCUCCUGCCCCAGCUGAUCCAGCAUUUUGAAAAUCCAAAUCAGUUCUGUAAGGACAUAGCUGAAAGGAUCGCUCAGGUUUGUUUGGAAGAGAAAAACCCUAAACUUUCUAACCUUGCCCACGUUAUGACGCUUUAUAAAACACACAGUUACACAAGGGACUGUGCCACAUGGGUCAACGUGGUGUGCCGAUACCUUCAUGAAGCCUAUGCGGACAUUACCUUGAACAUGGUUACCUACCUGGCAGAGUUGCUGGAAAAAGGUCUUCCCAGUAUGCAGCAGCCCCUCCUCCAAGUCAUCUACAGUCUGCUCAGCUACAUGGACCUUUCUGUCGUUCCUGUCAAGCAGUUUAACGUGGAAGUUCUGAAGACCAUUGAAAAAUACGUGCAGAGCGUUCACUGGAGAGAAGCUUUGAACAUCCUGAAGCUGGUUGUUUCUCGGUCAGCCAGCCUCGCACUGCCUUCCUACCAGCACGGCGACCUCUCCAAGAUAGAAAUACAUCGAGUGUGGACCAGUGCUUCUAAGGAAUUGCCUGGGAAAACCCUGGACUUUCACUUCGAUAUUUCAGAGACGCCGAUCAUUGGGAGGCGAUAUGACGAACUACAGAAUUCUGCGGGGCGUGAUGGGAAACCCAGGACCAUGACGGUCACCCGAAGUGCAUCCUCCACUUCGUCAGGCUCCAACUCCAAUGUUCUUGUUCCUGUGAGCUGGAAAAGGCCCCAGUAUUCUCAGAAGAGGACAAAAGAGAAGCUGGUGCACGUCCUUUCUCUGUGUGGCCAAGAAGUAGGGUUAAGCAAAAACCCAUCUGUGAUUUUUUCCUCGUGUGGGGACCUGGAUCUGCUGGAGCAUCAGACGAGCCUGGUGUCUUCUGAGGACGGCACCCGGGAGCAGGAGAACAUGGAUGACGCAAACAGCGAGCAGCAGUUCAGAGUCUUCAGGGACUUUGAUUUCCUAGACGUGGAGCUGGAGGAUGGAGAGGGUGAGAGUAUGGACAAUUUCAACUGGGGAGUGCGCAGACGUUCCCUGGACAGCCUGGACAAGUGUGACAUGCAGAUCCUGGAGGAGCGCCAGCUCUCAGGAAGUCCUCCCAGCCUAGAUAAAAUGAACCAUGAGGAUUCCGAUGAAUCAUCUGAGGAGGAGGACCUCACAGCCAGCCAGAUCCUGGAGCACUCCGACCUAAUCAUGACCCUCUCCCCUUCAGAGGAGGCCAGUCCCAUGGAACUGCUCACCACAGUCUGCGACUCAGCCCCCGCUGACCCUCGUUCCUUUAACACCAGAAUGGCCAGCUUGGACACUUCACUGCCUGAUAUGAAUAAUCUGCAGAUUUCUGAGGGUUCAAAGGCUGAAGCCGUCCAGGAGGAGGAAGACACUACCGUGCAUGAGGAUGACCUUUCAAGUUCCAUCAAUGAGCUCCCAGCAGCUUUCGAAUGCAGUGACAGCUUCAGUCUAGAUAUGACUGAGGCAGAGGAGAAAGGCAACCAAGGCCUGGACCAGUUUACCCUUGCAAGCUUCGGAGAAGGUGACAGAAGCGUCUCUCCCCCUCCCUCGCCUUUCUUCUCCGCCAUCCUUGCUGCCUUUCAGCCUGCAGCCUGCGAUGACGCCGAGGAGGCCUGGCGCAGCCACAUCAACCAGCUCAUGUGUGACUCGGACGGCUCCUGUGCGGUGUACACAUUUCAUGUGUUCUCCUCUCUGUUUAAGAAUAUUCAGAAGAGGUUCUGCUUCCUGACCUGUGAUGCCGCCAGUUACCUCGGAGAUAACCUCCGGGGAAUUGGAUCCAAAUUCGUUAGCUCCUCCCAGAUGCUCACCUCCUGCUCGGAAUGUCCGACACUGUUUGUGGAUGCGGAGACUCUCCUUUCGUGUGGACUUCUGGACAAGCUCAAGUUCAGCGUCUUAGAACUGCAAGAAUAUUUGGAUACCUACAACAAUAGAAAAGAGGCCACCCUCUCGUGGCUUGCAAAUUGUAAGGCAACAUUUGCAGGAGGAUCCAGAGAUGGAGUAAUUACCUGUCAGCCUGGGGACUCAGAAGAAAAGCAAAUGGAAUCUCUUGCACAACUAGAACUGUGUCAGAGGUUGUAUAAACUGCACUUCCAGCUGCUGUUGCUUUUUCAGUCCUACUGUAAGCUCAUCGGCCAGGUGCACGAAGUGAGCUCCAUGCCAGAGCUGCUGAAUAUGUCCAGAGAACUGAGCGACCUGAAGAGAAACCUGAAGGAGGCCACGGCAGCCAUCGCCGCGGACGCCCCUUACGCAGAGGGCGCGUGGUCCGAGCCCACCUUCACGUCCACCGAGGCAGCCAUCCAGUCCAUGCUGGAGUGCCUGAAGAACAACGAGCUCGGCACAGCCUUGCGGCAAAUCAGGGAAUGCAGAAGUCUGUGGCCCAAUGACAUCUUUGGAAGCAGUUCUGACGAUGAGGUCCAGACACUACUGAACAUUUAUUUCCGUCACCAAACGCUGGGACAGACAGGUACUUAUGCACUGGUGGGAUCUAACCAGAGUCUGACCGAAAUCUGCACCAAGCUGAUGGAGCUGAACAUGGAAAUCCGGGACAUGAUCCGCAGGGCGCAGAGUUACCGAGUCCUCACUGCGUUCCUCCCAGACUCCAGUGUUUCCGGCACUAGUCUCUGACAGGAGCCUCCCGUGCCCCCUGGCUUCCAAGCUGGGGGUGCUGCCGUGCUGGGGCAGUGUCAUUCAGUGUCUUCUCAGCCUUCAGAAGGCUUGGACAGACUGUUCUCCCUCUUGUUACCUGCAGGACUUUUUCUAAAGAGGGUGACAGAGCUUCCAACGUGUAGCAAUACUUUACGAACCAAGGCAGCAAAGGACAUCCUGAGACAGACUCCCCGCAUCACGCUGUGGGGCACAAACACGCUACCCACUUCCUGAGCAAAUGCAACCCACUACUGGAGCACUGACUUCCAUGGCAUACCAAAGCGGCGACACUGAACAAUUCCUUCCUCCCUAGAAGCAGUUUUAGAGUAGCAGAAGUGCGGUGUUUUCUUCACUUCCGAGAUUUUUAUAUUCUACACCUUGUACAUUUGUCCCCUUUCCUCCCCUCCCCCCUUGGUUCUGUUUUGUUUGUUUUGUUUUUGGUGAGAUGAGAAAAGGACAGGCAGAAUGAAGCUGGCCACUGAGAAACUGAACGACGGUCCAACGCUGACAGCCUGCGUGUCUCAAAGGGACUUGGGAAUGGACUGCAAUGUAAUGGACACUGUUAUUUGAAUACAAUUACUGUACCUAAAAGGAGCUGCUAUGAAGUACUUUUCUUAUGUUGCUAGGCUACUGUUUUUGAAGGCCUGGAUCUCUUUGCACCAAAACUGAUCCAGAUAGACUCUUUUUAAGGAUCUUGGCUGCUUUUUACUAGAAGGUUGCUUUUAUGAACAUAUUUAUACUACAGAAGGAUAAAUGUUAAUUUUAAUUAACUUUGCCAUUUUAUAGAGAAAAUUUAUUCACAUAAAUUCCAAGUCUUUUCACCUCUCACGCAUGCAUAUGUUAACAUCCAUUCGGAUAGGCAGAAAUAGAAUCAUAAAGAUAUGAAUUGUCACUUUGUUUCUGAAGAAUAAUGUAUUUUAUUUGUAAUAUAUAUGUAAAGGGCCAUUCUUAAGUUUCCUCCGUAAACUUAAUGCUGUCAAAGUGUUAGAUGUGUGCAUGUGAAUCUGUUACACAUCAGAGACGUUCAAAGUUUAUCUACGUAACUUAUUCACGCUGUAUAUACAUUUAAAGUUUUGUGAUGUAAUCCUGACUGAUACUCUGUUCAGAACUUUCUUUAGACAAAAAAAAAAAAAGCAAGGACAAAAUACACGAUGACCGUGGAUUUUAUUUCUGGUUAACGAGAAUGUCUGUGGGCCGCCAGAGUGAUAAGCCCAAGGGACACCAUUCAUCACACGGAGUCACCAAGCGGCCCCCACCGGGCCGUGCGGCACAUGGCAUCGAAGUCAGAGGAAGCAAAGUCACUUUGGAAGCAGAGCUUAAGAAACAAACCAAAAAAAACCUUCCACAAGUUCUCUCUGAAAUCAAUCAAAGAGAAAAAUCAGAAAAGAAAGAGGGCUCUCACGGUCCAUAACCUAGGUGACCAUCCUUAAAAUUUUGAAAUAUACUGUGUAUUGAGCAGGAAAAAAGUAAGAAAACCUUCAUUCUGUCACCAGUUACCCUACUAGAAAAAAACAGGGCCACAGAUCCACACAGCAGUCUAACCUACAACAUCUUCCUACUCGUAUUUGACUUGGACUAGCAAAUAGAACCUGUUUUACUAGCACGCCAGUACUGACUCAUUAGUUGUUAUUUCCUAAGAGUAUCCUGCAGGAGGGAGUCCAGCCCAAAAUUUUGUUGUUGUUGCCACUCUAUUUUAACAACUUCCGGAACUGCUGGAAACAUAUUCUUUUGAUAAGUUAACAUUUUCAGCUAGAAGACAAUUGGCUGUGGUUUAUAGAAAAUUGAAUUAUGAUCACCCUGAAAAAUACCUCCUACGAUACAGGGCUCUGUCGGUAACCAGAGUGGCCACCCUAGAGAGUUUUGUUGGGAGCCGCCACGGAAAGGUCUGACUAGUCACAACGGAAAGGUCCGACUGGUCAUGCCUGAGUUGGCUACUGUACCCUCUUAUCCAGCAAAGAACCCCAGCACGCUUUACUCUUUCAAAGAUAAAGGCCGUCAGCCACACGCUGAGUUCUGCCACGUUGGACUGUAAUCAUAGGAAGUAGGAGAGUUUGUCUUUUUAAAAAAAUGUUAUUUAGAAACAAUAAUUUGGGCAAUGCAAUUCCCAUGUCGUUUCACCUUCUCUCCCUUGAGUGGAGUGGGGAGAAUUUGUGUCAGAAAGGAGCGCCGCUCCAGCUGGGCCCAGCAGUGGUUGUGGAGCCUUGGGUCAUAUCACCUUGGCUGUGUGCUGUGCUCUGUUAGAGUAUUUCCACUGCCUUCCCCAGGGCUACAGAGAGGUUGGGGUACUGAGGAGAAGGCGGGUCAGGGUGAGAGAAAUGCCUUGUCCUGUCUCAGUGCUUUCUAGAGCCAAG